CGAGAAAACAGAAUAUCACCUCAUAUAAUCACGGGAAUAAGGCCCGAAAGUCUCUACCCAAUGACCGUAAAUCGUUGGACUAUGAGGGAAAGUGUCACUUCA
rnacentral:ncRNA from 2 species